rnacentral:rRNA from 1 species
UACGUAGGGCGCAAGCGUUAUCCGGAAUUAUUGGGCGUAAAGAGCUCGUAGGCGGUUUGUCGCGUCUGCCGUGAAAGUCCGGGGCAUAACUCCGGAUCUGCGGUGGGUACGGGCAGACUUGAGUGAUGUAGGGGAGACUGGAAUUCCUGGUGUAGCGGUGAAAUGCGCAGAUAUCAGGAGGAACACCGAUGGCGAAGGCAGGUCUCUGGGCAUUAACUGACGCUGAGGAGCGAAAGCAUGGGGAGCGAACAGG